rnacentral:sRNA from 1 species
AGUGAAUUUUAUUUGCAGUGAAAAUCCUUUUUUGAGGUUUUUACCGAUAAAAAGAUUGAAGCGAAAAGCAGGAAACAGC